rnacentral:lncRNA from 1 species
AUGAGCACUGGGCGUUAUACUAUAUAUUGGCAAAUUGAACUUAAAUUAAAAAAAUUUUUUUUAAAACAAAACAAUAAAAACCAUCAGGAAUCCCAGCUACAGCCUCCACUUCCCCCAGUCAAGCGCCCGGCUCUCCGGGGAGGGCCCGGAGCAGCGCUUCUUGGAGGGUGUCUAGGGCCAUCUCUGCUCUGGUUGGCUGACUUCCCCAGCAAUCUUAUCCAAUCAGAGAGCAGAGCUGCCUCUGGCUAUUUACAUAUGCUCUGUAACCCAAUCACAUGCUGGGUUUCCCCAAGUCCUCGUUUGCAUACAGGCCGUAUAAAUAGAACCACGGGGGGCCGGCCCACCGCAGGACCUGCUCUGUCAGCUCAGCGAGUGUGUCUGCGCGGGAGAAGCUUGGCGGUGGGAAGGGUGGGCAUCCCAGGGGGCUUUGCUUCUUUCCACGGUGGGCUCACACGAGUUAGCAGGACUCAUACCAGCGUGUGAACAUUUCCAGAUGGCUUGACCACUCGGAGCGUGAUAGAGCUGGAAGGUAUGUUUGCUUUGGGAAAUGGCCCAAUGAAGCAGGGGUGUGUUGGGGAGCCCCAACACUGAAAGAAAGGCAUGUCAUGUCUGAGUUUUCCCGGGGUGGGAAUACUUGCCUGCCAGAAUGAACGAACACAACAGUCAUGGGGGAUGCAUGGGAUGUUGGUGUGAGACCACAUUACGGUUGCACACAGAUGCAGAAUGUGUUCACAGCAGAAUUCGUCUGCUCCCUGUGGAAAGAAAUGAGAGGACUCGUGGGAUGUAUGCCACACACGUCUAUGGCUGUGGCUCUGGUGAUGACCCUACAAUGAUGAGGGUCUUGCUAAAUUAGGUGGUCUCAAGUCUUUGUGGUUCACACUCAAAACAAACAAAAACACAGUUGACCCCAGGACAAUGCAGGGUUAGGGUGUUGAUCCCCUGAGCCGUUCACAAUCCGUGUAUGACUUGAUUCCUCCAAGACUUACUCACUAAGAGCCUACCGUUAACAGGAAGCCUUACCGAAAACAUCAACAAUUGAUUAACAGGUAUUUUGUACAUUAUAUGUAUUAUAUACAGGAUUCUUACAAUAAAGUAAGCUAGAGAAAAGAAACUGUUAUUAAGAAAAAUGUAAGAGAAAAUACAUUUGCUGUUGUACUGUACUGUGUUUAUAAAAAUAAUUGGUGUAUAAAUGUACCUGCACAGUUCAAACCUGUGUUUUUCAAGGAUCAACUCUGAUGUGUUACAUAACUGUUUUUUUUUUUCCUUUAAAACCUGGGAAGUUUCAAACACAAAGGUAAACACAAUAGUAAAAUGGACUGGAUUUCAGCAAUUAGCAGCCAAAGAGCAAUUUCGACUCAUUUAUAUCUCUACCCUUCUCUUGCUCAGAUUAUUUUGAAAAAUAACAUCCAAAAUAUUGUAUCAUUUCAUGCAUAAAUACUUGCCCGAGCUCCUAGGUCCUCCCAGUACAUUGAAAGGAUUUUGUUUAAUAAUUCAAGGAAAUGAUUAAUCACACUCCUCAACAGAUGUCGGAUCCUACCUUCCACUGUUUAUCAGUAACAAACCUUCUCAACAGUACAUUACACAGAGCUUAUUCACAUUGAUAAAGGAAAAAACUCAGCUUCUAACAUGUGUGGGCCCUUCUCCUGGGCUCCUGGGGAAGCUAUACUUUAACAUUUACGGAGGUAAAUAUGAUUUGGUGAAACCUCAAAGCAUGGGCUCUAUUUCUGUAUGUCUGCUUCAUAUAAAAACAAAAACCAAAAAACCAAAAAAGGAGCAUUCCAAACAUAAAAAUUAGGAAAACAAAAUCCUCCCUGGUUCUCAUGUUAAAGGCACACAGUCUUAAACAGAGUAAAAGCACAGGACAAAGUCUGUGACUUUCUGGAUGUCCUUCAUCAUGGUGCCUUGUACUCUACGUAAGAAAACAGACCUAACCCUGCAGCCAGUGUCCCUUUCUUGGAGCGGACGACUGAGUACCAGGUGGCCACCCUGACUUGGGCUGCAAUAAAACUCUUUUCCUUUCUCUUUAACAUUUUUUUAAAAGGGUUGUUCCUUUUGGGUUGACAGCAUGACUAUUUUCAGAAGGCAGUAGCAAAGCAAUCUUAUAAAGCCAUUAACAUUAACAUGAGCAAAGCAUUUAGCCAGACUCCUGGUGUACUGAUUUGUUAGAGUUGAUGUAACAAAUCCCGCACCCAGGGCAGCUUGGACCACAGGCAUGUAUUGUCUCCGGGUCCCGGAGGCUGGAAGUCUGCACUCCAGGCGUGGGCAGGGCUGGUUCCUCCUGAGGCCUCCCUCCCUGGGCGUGUAGAUGGCCAUCUGCUCCCUGUGUCCUCACCUGGCCGUCCCUCUGCAUGUCCCCAUCCUACACCUCUUGCUGCAAAGACACGGAUCCUAUGGGAUCGGGUCCACCCUAGUGACCUCAGACUUCCUUUAGACAGACCCGCACUGUCAACUCUUUCCUGGGUCCCUAGCCUGCCAGAGGAUGUCAGAUUUACCAGCGCCACAGUCAGGGGAGCCAGUUCCUUGAAAUGCCUCUCCCUCUGUAUAUUCUAUUGCCUCUGUUUCUCUGGAGAAGCCCAGCUGAUAAAACUUGGAAUUACCUACCAUUGUCUCUCAUCUUUCACCCCUGGUUAUAAAUAGGCCAAGGUCUUUUCUGAGCUUAUUAUUAUUACUAUGAUUAUUACUAUUUUGGUAAUACUUUGGCCUGGGCAGCGAAUAGCACCUACUUAUGCUACUCACGCUCCAUAUUAAAACGGACGAAGGGCUUGUUACACGAGAAGAUGAGCAGGUUUCCUGCCAUGGGAUGUAUGGACCCCUUUUGCCAUCCAUCGUUUCUUCUGUGAUAAUGCUGCCUAGAAACAGCUCCAAACCUCGGGCUCCGUGGCUGCUGGCUCCAGGCUGCCCUCCGACGCGCGUCUUCUCUCACUGGGCUCAGGGAGCAGGAAUUCCCUGGACGUGCAGGUGUCCCAUGCAGGGCAGGAGGGAACGAACGACUGGCAGUAGCUCGCUGCACCUGAAGUUCUUGCUCCAGAAACGAGGUCCCGUCCCUUCCACUCACCUGCCAUCAGCCAGUGGCACACACAAACUGGCGGGGGCUUAUGACAGGGGUUAACGAUCUUCCCAUCCCCCACCCAGUUCCUGAGCAGGAGGCCACAAUUCCAAGGUCAGGUGUCACAGGGCCAUGCUCCCUCCUCCGAAGGCUUUGGGGCAAAUCUCUUCCUGCCUUUUCCAGCUCCGGGGCCUCAGGUGUCUCCUGGCUUGUGGCCACAUCACCCCAGUCUCUACCUGCAUGUUCACCUCCUUCUCAUUGUGCGUCCACACUCCCUCUGCCUUCCUUCUACAACAGAUGAGUGAUUUGGGCCCAGGAUAAUCCAGGAGAAGCUCCUCCUCUCAGGAUGCUGGAUUUCCUCUCUUCCCCCACAGGGAUUAAUAGUCACAGGCUCUGGGAUGAGUAAGAGAUUAUGUUGCUGAGUGGCAGUCUUAAGAGCCAGCCACACACUGCCACACCCAAGGUCAGCGCAGCAGGUGGCUGGGGGUGAGGCCUGGGGCUCUCCACAAGGGGACAUUUGCUGAACUCCAAGCAGCACACAGAGAUUUAGUGCAGGGCAAACCCACCUCCUCUCAGGGAGCGGAAACGAAGCAAGCAGCACAUUGGUGACCUUUCUUAAACUUGUAUUGGUAAAUGGAGUGACCCUGAUGGGAAAGCUGUCCAGGUGGCCCAGCUGGCUCUGCCACAGAGAACGGCCACAGAAGAAAGGAAUGUUACCAUUGGCGGUGGCUCCAAAGAAAAUGUGUCCUUACCCAUUGUUGGUUGUGGAAACCGCAGAGGACCAGCCAUGAUCAGAGGACUCUAUAGAUCGGUCUGUGUGCACAGGAGGGACACACACCUGUGUCACCCUGAGGAGAGAACAGUGGACAAGAAGAGCAGACAACACUUACUCCUUGCCCUGUCCCCCAUGGCCACUGCCAGGCCUGUGCCCAGCUCACCCAGCUCUUCAAUGAUGGCGAAUACUAAUUUCCACCAAGAGCGAAACAAGCCCUGUGGAGUGUGGUUGCAUUCACACCCUGAAUGCAAAAACCAAAACCAAAAUAGCCAAAUUCAUGUUUUUUUUUUUUGUUUGUUUGUUUGUUUUUUAAAGAUUGUACUUAUUUACAAGAGACACACAGGGAGAGGCAGAGGGAGAAGCAGCUCUCCACAGGGAGCCCGAUGUGGGACUUGAUCCCAGGACCCUGGGAUCGCCCUGAGCCUAAGGCAGAUGCUUAGCCGCUGAACCACCCAGGCGUCCCACCAAAAUCAUGUUUUGAGUAAAAAACAACAAAAAAAACCCCACCCUCAAUCCAAUGUGUUUGGCAAGGUCACUAAACAUUUCUCCAGGCCUCAGAGGACAUUGCAUGUCCCACUGGUUUAAGUCAGUUGUGACCCCAUCUACAUGGAGACAGCGUCAGACCCCACAGGCUUGGGGCUCAGUCCCCUAAAAGCACCUCCACCUGCCCCCCAUCAGUCAUCAACGGCAAGUCCAGGCCCAGGGGUAAUUAGAAUGUUCAGUUUCUACAAAGAGGAAAUAAGGUUGUGUUACAUUUUCACAUAUUUUGUUUGACAUAUUUGGCUAUUUGGUUCUUAAGCACGCCCACCUGGACCCGCACGUACCCCGGUAUGCAGGGAGGAUGGAAACAGCGUGUCCGGUGAUGGGAGGCGCCCCGAGUGGAGGGCAGGGGCGAGGGGAGAGCCCGCAGCUCCGGGGUCAUCGCUCGCCACACCGCUGCAUGCCAGAGCCAAGGCCCGGGUGGGCUGCCAGGGCGCAGAACACGGCAGGUGCCCCAGAUUCUUAGCCAGGGCAGUAGUGGGGAGGCGGGGUGCCACGGGAGCCCCUCGGUCGCCCUAGGAGCCUGCGGGGCAGUGGCUUGCAUUCUGGGUCCCCGAUUUCCUUGCCUUGGUGACUCCUUCCCAAGCACACCUGGAGUUGGCCGUUCGCAGCCCCUGGGCAGUUUCCGGGCAGGGACCUGACAGCUAGAGCUGCUCCAGCCAGGCAUGCGCGGGCCUGUGAAGACGGCAGGUCACAGUGUCAGCCAAGUGUCGAUCACGUGGACGCACACCUCGAGUCCUGCAC